GACGAACGCUGGCGGCGUGCCUAAUACAUGCAAGUCGAACGAAGCUUUUUUAACUGGUGCUUGCACCGACUUAAACAACUGAGUGGCGAACGGGUGAGUAACACGUGGGUAACCUGCCCCAAAGCGGGGGAUAACAUUUGGAAACAGAUGCUAAUACCGCAUAACCACAGAAACACAUGGUUUCUGUGUCAAAGAUGGUUUCGGCUAUCACUUUGGGAUGGACCCGCGGCGUAUUAGCUAGUUGGUAAGGUAAUGGCUUACCAAGGCAAUGAUCCGUAGACGAACUGAGAGGGUGAACGGCUACAUUGGGAGUGAGACACGGCCCAAACUCCUACGGGAGGCAGCAGUAGGGAAUCUUCCACAAUGGACGAAAGUCUGAUGGAGCAACGCCGCGUGAGUGAAGAAGGUUUUCGGAUCGUAAAACUCUGUUGUCAGAGAAGAACGUGUGCGAGAGUAACUGUUCGUGCAGUGACGGUAUCUGGCCAGAAAGCCACGGCUAACUACGUGCCAGCCGCCGCCGUAA
rnacentral:rRNA from 1 species